rnacentral:sRNA from 1 species
AGGUAGAUGCACCCUGAUUGAACCCUCCGGCUUCGGCCGGGGGUUUCUUUC